ACUCAUGGAAAUUCCUUUUUUUUUUCCUUUUUCUUUUUUCUUUUUUUCUUCUUUUUUCAUGUGAGUCUUUGGAAUACAAAACAGCUAUAAUGCUUCAAACGUAAUUUGUAGUAAGAAAAGGUCGAUGGUGCCUCAUGGAUAAAACACAUACCCAACAAAGACAAAAGGUGGGAAAAUACAAAGCCAAGACAAGUUGUGUUUUUCUUCUGCAGCAUCCAACACCUGGCCUGAAUAAGUUUUUGA
rnacentral:ribozyme from 12 species